rnacentral:rRNA from 1 species
AGUGAACGCUGGCGGUAGGCCUAACACAUGCAAGUCGAACGGCAGCACAGUAAGAGCUUGCUCUUACGGGUGGCGAGUGGCGGACGGGUGAGGAAUACAUCGGAAUCUACUUUUUCGUGGGGGAUAACGUAGGGAGACUUACGCUAAUACCGCAUACGACCUACGGGUGAAAGCAGGGGAUCUUCGGACCUUGCGCGAUUGAAUGAGCCGAUGUCGGAUUAGCUAGUUGGCGGGGUAAAGGCCCACCAAGGCGACGAUCCGUAGCUGGUCUGAGAGGAUGAUCAGCCACACUGGAACUGAGACACGGUCCAGACUCCUACGGGAGGCAGCAGUGGGGAAUAUUGGACAAUGGGCGCAAGCCUGAUCCAGCCAUACCGCGUGGGUGAAGAAGGCCUUCGGGUUGUAAAGCCCUUUUGUUGGGAAAGAAAAGCAGCAGGUUAAUACCCCGCUGUUCUGACGGUACCCAAGGAAUAAGCACCGGCUAACUUCGUG